AGUGAGCGCUGGCGGUAGGCCUAACACAUGCAAGUCGAACGGCAGCACAGUAAGAGCUUGCUCUUACGGGUGGCGAGUGGCGGACGGGUGAGGAAUACAUCGGAAUCUACUUUUUCGUGGGGGAUAACGUAGGGAAACUUACGCUAAUACCGCAUACGACCUACGGGUGAAAGCAGGGGAUCUUCGGACCUUGCGCGAUUGAAUGAGCCGAUGUCGGAUUAGCUAGUUGGCGGGGUAAAGGCCCACCCAGGCGACGAUCCGUAGCUGGUCUGAGAGGAUGAUCAGCCACACUGGAACUGAGACACGGUCCGGACUCCUACGGGAGGCAGCAGUGGGGAAUAUUGGACAAUGGGCGCAAGCCUGAUCCAGCCAUACCGCGUGGGUGAAGAAGGCCUUCGGGUUGUAAAGCCCCUUUGUUGGGAAAGAAAAGCAGCAGGUUAAUACCCCGCUGUUCUGACGGUACCCAAAGAAUAAGCACCGGCUAACUUCGUG
rnacentral:rRNA from 1 species